rnacentral:rRNA from 1 species
GACGAACGCUGGCGGCGUGCCUAAUACAUGCAAGUCGAACGCUUCUUUCCUCCCGAGUGCUUGCACUCAAUUGGAAAGAGGAGUGGCGGACGGGUGAGUAACACGUGGGUAACCUACCCAUCAGAGGGGGAUAACACUUGGAAACAGGUGCUAAUACCGCAUAACAGUUUAUGCCGCAUGGCAUAAGAGUGAAAGGCGCUUUCGGGUGUCGCUGAUGGAUGGGCCCGCGGUGCAUUAGCUAGUUGGUGAGGUAACGGCUCACCAAGGCCACGAUGCAUAGCCGACCUGAGAGGGUGAUCGGCCACAAUGGGACUGAGACACGGCCCAGACUCCUACGGGAGGCAGCAGUAGGGAAUCUUCGGCAAUGGACGAAAGUCUGACCGAGCAACGCCGCGUGAGUGAAGAAGGUUUUCGGAUCGUAAAACUCUGUUGUUAGAGAAGAACAAGGACGUUAGUAACUGAACGUCCCCUGACGGUAUCUAACCAGAAAGCCACGGCUAACUACGUG